GUACUCAGAAAGGCAAAACAUCUUGCUCAAGGGCUCACAACUAUUUAGGUGGUAGAGCUAAGAUAUGAACCUACCUCUGACACCAAAGUGCACUUCAACACCCUACUAUCACCCAACAAAGAAUUCUGGCCACAGAAUCACCUUGCUGCGGUAUUCCUGACUGAAUCAAGAUACGCUGGGGAAGAGGCAGCUGAAGACAGCCCGGGUUCUGACCUCGGCCCUGCUGCCUAACUGCCUGGCGACUUCAGGUUUUCUAAUCACAGAAUUACUGGAGCGUCAAGAAGCGCCUGCAUGCUUGGAAGGGCUUCCAGGCAGAUGAACACACCUCAGCACCGGGUGGCAGUUUCCCAGGGUGCAACCCGGACCGGCUCUGGGUCACACUGACAAGCCUCUCCGACUCCCCAGGCUGGGUUGGGUGCUCCUCCCUCUCAUCCCACAGCGCUAUGUCUCAUGUCUUCUGGAAAACUUGCCAAUCCCUAGUGUAAGUGUGACUGGUCUAUUGUGAGCACCUAUUGUUCAGGGACCUCUGUUUACCUGAGGCCAGGACAAGGGCCUGGAGUGUGAGCAGGAGCAAGGGAGUGCUCGGGAAAUGGAAACAAUGAAUGAAUCAAUCAGUCAAUCAUCUCCUGGGGUGGGAGUGUACAGCUCAGAGACUGCCACACUGCAAGACGAAGGGGCUGGAUGGACGGAAGUAAGAGGCGGAACCCUGCACACCCUCGGCCUCAGCCCCACUGAGUCUCCAAUGGGGCCACGCUUCUGAGUGCACCUCCCCCUGUCAUCUGUAAUGUGAGGGGGAACCAGGCUUGAUAUGGCAUUCCCAAUCCAGGGC
rnacentral:antisense_RNA from 1 species